rfam:Salmo salar isolate Sally breed double haploid chromosome ssa05, whole genome shotgun sequence.
UCUCUAUCUAAAUGUAAGUCACUCUGGAUAAAAGUGUCUGCUAAAUGACUAAAA